rnacentral:rRNA from 1 species
GCAAGUCGAACGGCAACGAGGAGAAGCUUGCUUCUCUGUCGGCGAGUGGCGAACGGGUGAGUAUAGCAUCGGAACGUGCCAAGUAGUGGGGGAUAACCAAACGAAAGUUUGGCUAAUACCGCGUAAGCUCUAAGGAGGAAAGUAGGGGACCGCAAGGCCUUACGCUAUUUGAUCGGCCGAUGUCGGAUUAGCUAGUUGGUGAGGUAAUGGCUCACCAAGGCGAUGAUCCGUAGCGGGUCUGAGAGGACGAUC